rnacentral:rRNA from 1 species
CCUACGGGUGGCAGCAGUGAGGAAUAUUGGUCAAUGGACGCAAGUCUGAACCAGCCAUGCCGCGUGCAGGAAGACGGCUCUCUGAGUUGUAAACUGCUUUUGUUCGGGGGUAAACGCAGGUACGCGUAUCUGUUUGAAAGUAUCGUACGAAUAAGGAUCGGCUAAUUCCGUGCCAGCAGCCGCGGUAAUACGGAGGAUUCAAGCGUUAUCCGGAUUUAUUGGGUUUAAAGGGUGCGUAGGCGGUCGGUUAAGUAAGAGGUGAAAUCCCGAGGCUCAACUGCGGGAUUGCCUCUGAUACUGUUCGGCUAGAGAGUAGAUGCGGAAGGUGGAAUGUAUGGUGUAGCGGUGAAAUGCUUAGAGAUCAUACAGAACACCGAUUGCGAAGGCAG